rnacentral:lncRNA from 1 species
GAAAACUUAUAUGAAACAUGUUUAGCUUAAUAGGGUGUACUCGACUUACUACAUUCAGUAUAAGGAUGUUUAAAUGUUGUUAAAACAAGAGGAAGGUUUGUUGUAUGUAUAAGUUUCAGAAUUGUCCUCCGUUAUACUUAAAUUGUACAAACGCACAGAUUUAAUUGUAAUACAAAAAUGCAUGUAUUUACACACAUUCGAGGCCGCACUGUAGCCUAUAAUUGAUCACAGUUACUUCACUUUGUUUUGGGAGUAGAGCUAUUUCUGUGACACCCAAUUGUACAACACUUUGGGGGUUUAUAAUGAUAAUGAAGGCCGUCUUUCCGUUCGUUCGUUGGACAGUUAUACUAUGUUUGGCCGGUUUUGUAAGUGCAUCUCCUCAUUUACCACUUAAUAUACAAUGGGGUUUCCAGCCAUUUUUAAAUGGAGAGAGGGUCCAAUCCAGGAGAAAAGGGGAUUCCAAAUAUAUGUUCCCAUACAAAUGCAUUGAUAGUUAAAAAGGGUUUCAAUCCGCCGGAUCUCCUUUUUUUAUCCGUCACUUAUAUGACUUAAUUAAUCUCUCCGGAUUCCUUAUCAUAAAUUAUAAUGACUGUAUUGUGCACCGUCUAUUUCGAAUUUAAGUAAACAUCUUUUAUUGGGGGUUCUUUGUAUAAGAUACGGACUAUGCAUUGCCACUUUCAACUUUAAUUCUUCUGAAUCAUGACGAAUUAUGCAAUGAUCUACCAGUUCUGCAAAAUCUCUUGACCGUAAAAAGAUGAAUAAAAACAGCGAAACUCUGUCAUUGGAUUAUCAUGAAAAAGAAAUAUAUCUUUCGUAUACUUGAAUGCAUUACAGCAUUUAGAAUCAUAUUCAAAACAGUGUGGUCCUGGCCAUUGAUUGACGAC